AUUACACACUGUUAGAGCUUGGAGCUGAGGCCAGUUACUGGCAGAUGAACUCACAAGUGUAGGUUGUGUGCUAUAUUAAUGGCAGGUUUGUUGCUAACACCACAAGGACCUUUGUUAAUGGAAUACUAUUAUGCUCAAAGG